rnacentral:rRNA from 1 species
GUGGGGAAUAUUGGACAAUGGGCGAAAGCCUGAUCCAGCCAUGCCGCGUGUGUGAAGAAGGUCUUCGGAUUGUAAAGCACUUUAAGUUGGGAGGAAGGGCAGUAAGUUAAUACCUUGCUGUUUUGACGUUACCGACAGAAUAAGCACCGGCUAACUUCGUGCCAGCAGCCGCGGUAAUACGAAGGGUGCAAGCGUUAAUCGGAAUUACUGGGCGUAAAGCGCGCGUAGGUGGUUUUGUAAGUUGGAGGUGAAAUCCCCGGGCUCAACCUGGGAACUGCCUACAAAACUGCAUGACUAGAGUACGGUAGAGGGUAGUGGAAUUUCCUGUGUAGCGGUGAAAUGCGUAGAUAUAGGAAGGAACACCAGUGGCGAAGGCGACUACCUGGACGGAUACUGACACUGAGGUGCGAAAGCGUGGGGAGCAAACAGGAUUAGAAGCCCCUGUAGUCC